rnacentral:rRNA from 1 species
GACGAACGCUGGCGGCGUGCUUAACACAUGCAAGUCGAACGGAAAGGCCCUGCUUUUGUGGGGUGCUCGAGUGGCGAACGGGUGAGUAACACGUGAGUAACCUGCCCUUGACUUUGGGAUAACUUCAGGAAACUGGGGCUAAUAACGGAUAGGAGCUCCUGCUGCAUGGUGGGGGUUGGAAAGUUUCGGCGGUUGGGGCUGGACUCGCGGCUGAUCGGCUUGUUGGUGGGGUAGUGGCUUACCAAGGCUUUGACGGGUAGCCGGCCUGAGAGGGUGACCGGCCACAUUGGGACUGAGAUACGGCCCAGAGUCCUACGGGAGGCAGCAGUGGGGAAUAUUGCACAAUGGGCGGAAGCCGGAUGCAGCAACGCCGCGUGCGGGAUGACGGCCUUCGGGUUGUAAACCGCUUUCGCCUGUGACGAAGCGUGAGUGACGGUAAUGGGUAAAGAAGCACCGGCUAACUACGUG